rnacentral:rRNA from 1 species
UAAGGAAUAUUGGACAAUGGAGGAAACUCUGAUCCAGCCAUGCCGCGUGUGUGAUGAAGGCCUUCGGGUUGUAAAACACUUUUAGGUGUGAAAAUGAUGAUGGUAGCACCAGAAAAAGCUCCGGCUAACUUCGUGCCAGCAGCCGCGGUAAUACGAAGGGAGCGAGCGUUGUUCGGAAUCACUGGGCGUAAAGCGUGCGUAGGCGGUUUUGUAAGUAAGAAGUGAAAGCCUGGGGCUUAACCCCAGAAUUGCUUUUUAGACUGCAAAGCUAGAGUAUUGGAGAGGUUAGUGGAAUUCCGAGUGUAGAGGUGAAAUUCGCAGAUAUUCGGAGGAACACCAGUGGCGAAGGCGACUAACUGGACAAUUACUGACGCUGAGGCACGAAAGCGUGGGGAUCAAA